rnacentral:rRNA from 1 species
AUGAACGCUAGCUACAGGCUUAACACAUGCAAGUCGAGGGGCAGCAUUUUAGUUUGCUUGCAAACUGAAGAUGGCGACCGGCGCACGGGUGAGUAACACGUAUCCAACCUGCCGAUAACUCCGGAAUAGCCUUUCGAAAGAAAGAUUAAUACCGGAUAGCAUACGAAUAUCGCAUGAUAUUUUUAUUAAAGAAUUUCGGUUAUCGAUGGGGAUGCGUUCCAUUAGUUUGUUGGCGGGGUAACGGCCCACCAAGACUACGAUGGAUAGGGGUUCUGAGAGGAAGGUCCCCCACAUUGGAACUGAGACACGGUCCAAACUCCUACGGGAGGCAGCAGUGAGGAAUAUUGGUCAAUGGGCGAGAGCCUGAACCAGCCAAGUAGCGUGAAGGAUGAAGGCUCUAUGGGUCGUAAACUUCUUUUAUAUGGGAAUAAAGUUUUCCACGUGUGGAAUUUUGUAUGUACCAUAUGAAUAAGGAUCGGCUAACUCCGUGCCAGCAGCCGCGGUAAUACGGAGGAUCCGAGCGUUAUCCGGAUUUAUUGGGUUUAAAGGGAGCGUAGGUGGAUUGUUAAGUCAGUUGUGAAAGUUUGCGGCUCAACCGUAAAAUUGCAGUUGAAACUGGCAGUCUUGAGUACAGUAGAGGUGGGCGGAAUUCGUGGUGUAGCGGUGAAAUGCUUAGAUAUCACGAAGAACUCCGAUUGCGAAGGCAGCUCACUAGACUGUCACUGACACUGAUGCUCGAAAGUGUGGGUAUCAAACAGGAUUAGAUACCCUGGUAGUCCACACAGUAAACGAUGAAUACUCGCUGUUUGCGAUAUACAGUAAGCGGCCAAGCGAAAGCAUUAAGUAUUCCACCUGGGGAGUACGCCGGCAACGGUGAAACUCAAAGGAAUUGACGGGGGCCCGCACAAGCGGAGGAACAUGUGGUUUAAUUCGAUGAUACGCGAGGAACCUUACCCGGGCUUAAAUUGCAACAGAAUAUAUUGGAAACAGUAUAGCCGUAAGGCUGUUGUGAAGGUGCUGCAUGGUUGUCGUCAGCUCGUGCCGUGAGGUGUCGGCUUAAGUGCCAUAACGAGCGCAACCCUUAUCUUUAGUUACUAACAGGUCAUGCUGAGGACUCUAGAGAGACUGCCGUCGUAAGAUGUGAGGAAGGUGGGGAUGACGUCAAAUCAGCACGGCCCUUACGUCCGGGGCUACACACGUGUUACAAUGGGGGGUACAGAAGGCGGCUACCUGGUGACAGGAUGCUAAUCCCAAAAACCCCUCUCAGUUCGGAUCGAAGUCUGCAACCCGACUUCGUGAAGCUGGAUUCGCUAGUAAUCGCGCAUCAGCCAUGGCGCGGUGAAUACGUUCCCGGGCCUUGUACACACCGCCCGUCAAGCCAUGAAAGCCGGGGGUACCUGAAGUACGUAACCGCAAGGAGCGUCCUAGGGUAAAACUGGUAAUUGGGGC